CGUUUAAGGCCCCCGAGAGACGGCAUAUAGCAAUUGAAUUGUCCGUCCUUCAUCAUUCCGUCCCUCCGUCCGGUAAUCUUAUUUAUCAUUCAUCUCCAAAACCGCUGGGGAUUUCAGCGAAACUUCAAAAAUGGUUUGUAACCAUGCCCAGAUGUGCACAGUAUCUUGAUUUUCCGCUUGCAUUUUUUGUCACACGUAUUGCCCCUUAAUUGGCAAUUUUCGAGUAAACUAAGCUUGUCCGUGCUUCAUCACCAAAGCGCUGGGGAAUUUCAAUAAAAUUUCACGGGAUUGUUUUUCAGCAAGCCUUGUUGUGCAUACUCUCUUAAGAUUCUACUUGAUUUUUUGGCAUAGUUAUGGCCCCUUAAUGGUCUAUUUCUGAGGACACUGAGCUUGUCCAUGCUACAACUCCAAAACCGCUGGAGGAAUUUCAGUGAAACUACACAGGAUUUUUUUGUUUGCAUAGUAUCUUGAUUGUCCGCUUGAAUUUGUUUCGCCCUUGGUGAUGUUUUUUUUAGUAAAUUCUUUUAGACUAUUUCUCCUACACUUAUAAUUAAAUUUCAAAUAAAGGAAUGAUAUUUAUCAAACAGCAGUUCGGCACAUAUUACCGGUAUUUUGGCAUAAAUUGCGGAUUUUUUUGUCGUCAAAAUUUCACUAUGGGGGCAUAAGUCACUUUUCAGGAACAGCUCUUGUUUCAGCAAUGUAUCCAUGAUAAAAAAUGAAAAAGAAGUUGAAAUGCGUGGUUUUAUGUAUGGUUGUUUUAAUUUGUUUAAGUAAUUUAAAAUCAUACAGUGUUUUUUUAAGGAUUAUCGGUGCAGACGUGUCAAGAAUGCGGCUGCUGCGAAGGUGGGCAACUCUCUUGUGAUUCAAAUAAGAAUUGUAUUUAUGGAUGUUUAACUGGCUAUUAUGGCAAGAAGUGCACAGAGAAGUGUCUAGAAAAUUGUAAAAGCUGUGUAAAUGGUUAUGAAUGCACAGAGUGUCGACCCGGUUAUUAUACCAACAAAUGUAAUUUACUAUGUGGGAAAGGUUGUGUUAACAAUACAUGCUCAGUUUCAUCAGGAGAAUGUUCUUGUAAAUCGGCUAAUUUUGUCACAGAUAAAUGUGAUGUUUGUUCGGGAAAAAAGUAUGGUGAUGAAUGUAAUAUAACAUGUCCUAGUAACUGUGGCUCUUGUACAACAUAAACAGAAUGUUCAUGGUGUCAACACACUGCUUAUUACGGAUCAUAUUGUCAGUACAGGUGUUCGAUUUGUUGUUUCGAUGGAAGAUGUAAUAAAGGAAAUGGAUACUGUCAUAAAGGAUGCAAACUUGGUUUUGUCGGGAAUAAAUGUGACAUGUGCUCGUUUGGUUCAUACGGAACCUUUUGUGAUUUAAAUUGCACAGAUAACAUUUGACAUGUUUUUCGGACACAAACUGUAUAUAUUGUGCAAGAGAUACAGGAGCCUGUUUACAUGGAUGCAAAUCCGUUUUAAAUUACGGGGAUUAUUGUGAGAAGCAAUGUAGUGAUACUUGCAACAAUAGAAGUUGCGACUGGAAAACGGGUCAGUGUUUGGAAGGAUGCGUGACGAACUAUUAUGGAUCGUUUUGUGACACUUCAUGCCCUUUUUCGUGUUUACCCAAUAACGACAAACUUGUAUGUGAUGAAAUAAAUGGACGCUGUUUACUGGGUUGCAGAGAUGAUUUCUAUGGCAAUAAAUGUAACAACAAAUGCAGCAGCCUAUGUGUUUACACUACUUGCAACCAGAUAAAAGGGGAAUGCUUGUACGGAUGUAUACACGGAUUUAAAGGGCCGAAAUGUCUUGAAGCAAUAAUUCUUGAGAGAGAAGGCUACAGCAAAGGAACGCUAACAGGUUCUAUAUUGGGUUCAUUUCUAGCUGGUGGUGUUGUUGCAGUAGCAGCUUUAUUUGCCUUCAUAACAUGGAGGCGGAGGUUUGGAAAUAGACAAACAGAAAAUACUUCAGCUUCUGGAAAAUAUCGUUCGUAUAGUAGUACUUAAAAAGUA